GGAAUUAGCAUAUCAAUAAGCGGAGGAAAAGAAACCAACAGGGAUUGCCCUAGUAACGGCGAGUGAAGCGGCAACAGCUCAAAUUUGAAAUCUGGCUCUUUUAGGGUCCGAGUUGUAAUUUGCAGAGGGCGCUUUGGCAUUGGCAGCGGUCCAAGUUCUUUGGAACAGGACGUCACAGAGGGUGAGAAUCCCGUACGUGGUCGCUAGCCCUUGCCGUGUAAAGCCCCUUCGACGAGUCGAGUUGUUUGGGAAUGCAGCUCUAAAUGGGAGGUAAAUUUCUUCUAAAGCUAAAUACUGGCCAGAGACCGAUAGCGCACAAGUAGAGUGAUCGAAAGAUGAAAAGCACUUUGGAAAGAGAGUCAAAUAGCACGUGAAAUUGUUGAAAGGGAAGCGCUUGCAGCCAGACUUGCCUGUAGUUGCUUAUCCGGACUUUUGUCCGGUGCACUCUUCUGCGGGCAGGCCAGCAUCAGUUUGGGCGGUUGGAUAAAGGUCUCUGUCAUGUACCUCUCUUCGGGGAGGCCUUAUAGGGGAGACGACAUGCAACCAGCCUGGACUGAGGUCCGCGCAUCUGCUAGGAUGCUGGCGUAAUGGCUGUAAGCGGCCCGUCUUGAAACACGGACCAAGGAGUCUAACAUCUAUGCGAGUGUUUGGGUGUCAAGCCCAGACGCGUAAUGAAAGUGAACGGAGGUGGGAACCCUUUUGGGUGCACCAUCGACCGAUCCUGAUGUCUUCGGAAGGAUUUGAGUAAGAGCAUGGCUGUUGGGACCCGAAAGAUGGUGAACUAUGCUUGAAUAGGGUGAAGCCAGAGGAAACUCUGGUGGAGGCUCGCAGCGGUUCUGACGUGCAAAUCGAUCGUCAAAUUUGGGCAUAGGGGCGAAAGACUAAUCGAACUAUCUAUGG
rnacentral:rRNA from 1 species